rnacentral:rRNA from 1 species
UGGGCUUGAUUGUGGGGAAAUAACUCCACAGUUAAGCGUGCUUGAGCCAGAGGCGUAUUGGGAUGGGUGACCACCUGGGAAGUCCUGGU